rnacentral:precursor_RNA from 15 species
AUAUUAAAUAUUACUUAGUCUCUUUUCAUUUACUUUGAGUAAUGUUUGUAUUGUAUUUUCUAAAUACAUUCUUUAUUCCAAGUAGAUGAAGUGAUUUUCGAUCAUCAGUUGAAAUA